rnacentral:rRNA from 1 species
AUACGUAGGGAGCGAGCGUUGUCCGGAAUUACUGGGUGUAAAGGGAGCGUAGGCGGGAGUGCAAGUCAGAUGCGAAAUACAUGGGCUCAACCCAUGGGCUGCAUUUGAAACUGCAUUUCUUGAGUGAAGUAGAGGUAAGCGGAAUUCCUGGUGUAGCGGUGAAAUGCGUAGAUAUCAGGAGGAACACCGGUGGCGAAGGCGGCUUACUGGGCUUUUACUGACGCUGAGGCUCGAAAGCGUGGGGAGCAAACAGGAUUAGAUACCCUGGUAGUCCACGCUGUAAACGAUGAUUACUAGGUGUGGGGGGACUGACCCCUUCCGUGCCGCAGUUAACACAAUAAGUAAUCCACCUGGGGAGUACGGCCGCAAGGUUGAAACUCAAAUGAAUUGACGGGG